GUCGGUUCAGUGGUGGCGACUGUAAUCCAAGCUACUGGGAGGCUGAGGCUGGCGGAUCGCUUGAGCUCAGGGCUUAUGGGCUGCAGUGUACUGUGUAGAGAAGGUGUCCGCACUACGUUUGGUAUUGAUAUGAUGCUCCUGGGGUAGCUCGGGGCCAGCAGGUCAUUUAAGGAGGGGUGAACCAGUCUAGGUCAGAGACGGAGCAGGUCAAAGCCCCAGUGUCGGUCAGUAGCGGGAUUGCACCUGUGAAUAGACACUGCAGCACAAAACUGAGCGAGACAAAAAUUUU
ensembl:misc_RNA Metazoa_SRP Metazoan signal recognition particle RNA